GUGAAUGAUGACAUCUUGACUAGAGUCUCUGAAAUAUUAUGAAGCCUAAAGUAAACGCUCUGACAC
rnacentral:snoRNA from 1 species